CAGCAGCCGCGGUAAUACGAAGGGUGCAAGCGUUAAUCGGAAUUACUGGGCGUAGAGCGUGCGUAGGCGGUUUGUUAAGUCUGUUGUGAAAUCCCGGGGCUCAACCUGGGAAUGGCAAUGGAUACUGGCAAGCUAGAGUGUGUCAGAGGAUGGUGGAAUUCCCGGUGUAGCGGUGAAAUGCGUAGAGAUCGGGAGGAACAUCAGUGGCGAAGGCGGCCAUCUGGGACAACACUGACGCUGAGGCACGAAAGCGUGGGGAGCAAACAGGAUUAGAUACCCCUGUAGUCCCUGUCUCUUAUAC
rnacentral:rRNA from 1 species